AUAGAUUUCACUGAAGCAUUGCUUAAUCUAAUUUAAUGGCGGAAGAAGGAAAAUUGAUUCAACUGCCAGUGAUAAAUGUUACUGUAGUAAACUGUCACGAAGGAACAAGACAAAUAGCAAAUGUUCAUGCAGCUAACAUAGGACGGGUGGAUAUUAACACAGGAGAAGAGAACUCUGCAACACCGCCAGCCACGAUCGAACAUGAUUCGAUACCAAGUAGAGUUUUGACAG